rnacentral:tRNA from 1 species
CCCCCCUUAGUUUAGUGGCUAGAACACUCGGCUGUAGACCGAGGGAUCCCCGGUUCGAACAGAUGUCAUAGAAUGAAUUGUGGAUCUCAGAAAUUCUGGGAGGGGGGA